UCUUUACAUACAAAGCCUGGUCUAUCUUGUGGAGGAGAGUUGAAGUUAUAGGUAGAUAGUCCUUUCUUUACAUACAAAGCCUGGUCUAUCUUGUGGAGGAGAGUUGAAGUUCUAGGUAGAUAGUCCUUUCUUUACAUACAAAGCCUGGUCCAUCUUGUGGAGGAGAGUUGAAGUUAUCGGUAGAUAGUCCUUUCUUUACAUACAAAGCCUGGUCUAUCUUGUGGAGGAGAGUUGAAGUUAUCGGUAGAUAGUCCUUUCUUUACAUACAAAGCCUGGUCUAUCUUGUGGAGGAGAGUUGAAGUUAUAGGUAGAUAGUCCUUUCUUUACAUACAAAGCCUGGUCUAUCUUGUGGAGGAGAGUUGAAGUUAUCGGUAGAUAGUCCUUUCUUUACAUACAAAGCCUGGUCUAUCUUGUGGAGGAGAGUUGAAGUUAUCGGUAGAUAGUCCUUUCUUUACAUACAAAGCCUGGUCUAUCUUGUGGAGGAGAGUUGAAGUUAU